GUGGGGAAUCUUCCGCAAUGGACGAAAGUCUGACGGAGCGACGCCGCGUGAGUGAAGAAGGCCUUCGGGUCGUAAAGCUCUGUCAUCAGGGACGAACGGCCGGUGGAGUGGAAAGCCACCGGAUUGACGGUACCUGAGAAGGAAGCCACGGCUAACUACGUGCCAGCAGCCGCGGUAAUACGUAGGUGGCAAGCGUUGUCCGGAAUUAUUGGGCGUAAAGCGCGCGCAGGUGGGAUCUUAAGUCCAUUUUUAAAGUUCGGAGCUCAACUCCGUGGUGGGAUGGAAACUGGGAUUCUUGAGUACCGGAGAGGAAAGCGGAAUUCCCCGUGUAGCGGUGAAAUGCGUAGAUAUGGGGAGGAACACCAGUGGCGAAGGCGGCUUUCUGGACGGUGUCUGACACUGAGGCGCGAAAGCCAGGGGAGCGAACGGGAUUAGAAACCCGUGUAGUCC
rnacentral:rRNA from 1 species